rnacentral:lncRNA from 1 species
GCUCAUUAGAGGGAUGUGAGGCAACCUACAGUUUCUCCCUAUCAACUUCAUGCUCAGAUGUUUCCAUACCCUGUUUUGCAUUCUCUAUAGACAUACAGGUAUCCAAUCACAAACCAAACAGAAGGAUUAGUGUCACGCGUUGUUAACAUGGUAAAAACGGCUAAAACUCAUCCAUUCAAUUUGUUAUCACCCUUAGGUUUGCUCUCUGCUCCGACUCCAACAUCGGCAAAGCAUUUCAUCCGUGUCACAAUCUCUAUUGCAAGCCUGCUUGGUGCUAUGGUAGCAGACCCGAAAGUUGCCAACCGGGAAAGUUACACUCCAAGUACAUUUGAUCCCACCCA